ACAUAUAUUCUCAUUUUGAUGGGAUUCCUGUGGUAUUGGGUAUAGCGCGGGCGCAUCAGAAAGGUAGCCCAUGGAACACUACACCACAAACAUAAAUAAAUACACCACGAACACUUUAUUUUACCCCGUUAUUCACUAAAAGCUGAAUAAAAGUUGCUAGAAUACUAACCAGGUGAAUCAUUGGAACAUAAAGACCAAAGAAGAAAAUACACAGUAAACCAGCUAAAAGCAUAGCCCCUGCCAUUACACGGAGGGCACCUCGCCAGCCAAGACUAUCGACAAGAACUUGCAGUAUUGGACCGAUGAUAAGAACGCCUAUACUUGCACCAGAAGUCRUAACRCCYASCGCCAUUGGAAUUUUCUUUUGGAAAUAUUUUUUAAUGGAAAGAGUUUGUGAGUUGAUAAGACAGCWUCCAAAAAWRCCAAACGAAACGCCAUAGGAUAUGUAAAGAAUCCAAAAAUCUGAUGCAAAGGAGCUUAUGACGAUGGCUAUAGCUGAACAUAUCCCGCCAAACAUCCCUACUGGACGUUCUCCGAACCACGAGAUGACCUUUAUGGCUACUGGACCCAGGAGAAAGGAAAAACCAAUGGCCAAGGAGCCAAUCCAAGCUGAGUAAGGCAAUAGAAACUCAGUCAGGGCAAAAGAAUACCAAAGCUUAGCAGCAAACCAAAUAAGAUCAAAUUAUUGUAAAAGACCACGAAACAUAUCAACCAAGAAUAUGGGCUGUCUCUUUUAUAAGAAACAAAUAGAAGAAGGAAAAGAAGAAAAAACUGAGAAGAAAACAGUUGGAGAUUCGAACAUGAAAAUCUUGAAGGUGAAGAGGAGAUUGGUGCUUAAUAAACAUAAAUUUUUGACUUGUGGGAGCCACCAUGCACAAUCCAUAGCAGCUUUGUCGCUAAUGGAAAUAGUAAAACCACGUUCAUGCGACUUACUAUGAACCAAACCUUCAAAAAUUGAAAAUAUGAAAGUUUUGGUAGGUAGAUUAUUUACAAAGCCUUUUGUUGAAUGUAUUCAAUGGAACCGCUUAUAAUUUUAUCGAAGUAGUCAAACAACCUACGUGGGCUGAUCUAAGUCGAUCGGGGCAUAGCCGUUAACUCAUAGAUUGAACCAUGAUGAAACAACCUCUGGGCUGAUGUAAAUAAGGGUACAAGUAACUCACAGAUCAAACCCUGAAACAACAUCUGGGCUGAUCUAAGUCAGGGCAUGGCUAACUC